CCACCUAAUUCUACUUCUUAGAAUGCAAGACUUGGAUGCUUUUUUAUUGGGACCUUUAGUACUUAAUUUGUUGUUUGAUGUGUUACUACUUAAGCUCUUUUCAUCCCUGAAGAAUAUUUUAACAUUUGUUCACCUAAUAUAAUCUCUUGUUAUAUUUCCCAAGGCAUCCCCUACUUCUUGGGUUUUUCGAUUUAUACUUGAG
rnacentral:lncRNA from 1 species